rnacentral:misc_RNA from 1 species
CGAAUCAAGGGAAGCGUGCCGGUGCAGGCAAUUGACCACCGUAAGCGUCGUUGCAACCAAUUAAGCGCCGAUUCCAAUCAGCGCGACUUCGCCCUCGCUGCUUAAGCGACGGUGAGUCUGUCAGACCGGGAGCGCCCUCGGCCCGGACCCUGGCAUCAGCUAGAGGGAACCACCGAUUCACCCGGUCGCGGGGAGUCUCGGGACAUCAAACAGCGACUGGGAUCGUCAUCCUGACUUGUUCGUGUGAUCAGGAGAUCCGAGUAGAGACAUAGCGAACUGCGCACGGAGAAGCCUCGAGGGAAUGCC